rnacentral:rRNA from 1 species
GGUUCAUUCAAAUUUCUUCCCUAUCAACUUUCGAUGUUUGGGUAUUGGCCAAACAUGGUUGCAACGGGUAACGGAGGGUAGGGCUCGACCCCGGAGAAGGAGCCUGAGAAACGGCUACUACAUCCAAGGAAGGCAGCAGGCGCGCAAAUUACCCAAUCCCGACCGGGGAGGUAGUGACAAUAAAUACUGAUACAGGGCUCUUUUGGGUCUUGUAAUUGGAAUGAGUACAAUUUAAAUCCCUUAACGAGGAACAAUUGGAGGGCAAGUCUGGUGCCAGCAGCCGCGGUAAUUCCAGCUCCAAUAGCGUAUAUUAAAGUUGUUGCAGUUAAAAAGCUCGUAGUUG